UCCUCCAGCUCUAUUCUUAUCCUCCCCAGCUCAAUCCAGCUGAUGCUUAUCUUGCCCAAGCUCUGAGAAACAGGGUUUAAACCCUCUCCUCUCUUUCUCUCUCUAGGAUCUUCUACUUCGAAGAGGGUGGUAAUGUGAGCUUAUUAUUUUCUUCCCUUCUCUUGGAUUAACUGGUCUAGAGGUUUGAGGAUUAAAUCUUGGAAUGUGGGAGAGGUGUUUUGAUGAGUUUUCUCAACCUUAAAACUGCUGGUAGCUGAAUCGAAGUUGGAAUGAGCUGGUUUGAGGGAUGUUCCAGCAGCUAUAGAAGCAAGUUUUUGCUAUGAUUCUUCAACUUUAAUCCUAGGAAAAGCUGAACCAAAGUUGUUUAAAGUAGGGUGCUUUGAACCAAUUGAUCUUGUUUGGCUGAAAUUGGGAAGCUUACAAAAGUUGGAUUUGGUGUUCCAACCUAAACCGAGAUUGAGAUUUAAGCAUUAGCAUAAUAGUAGCAGGUUUCUUAACACCUGGAGCUGCGUUUUGUGAUGCUUGAAAGCUAAAUUUAGUGUACUUCAGCCAGAAAGAAGUGGAAUUUCAAGUUGGGAAUCUAAAUAUGUUUAUAGCUGGUGGGGGACCUUUUGACUGAGAUUUUGGGUGGUCAUUACGGUUUAGAUUUGGUGCAUUCUAACCUAAAGUAAGGUGGAAAUUAACCUUGGAUCAAUAUUAGGGUACUUGGAGAAUAGCAGAUACUCUUACUUACGAAUUUGACAAGAGGCAUCAACUAAUUG